rnacentral:rRNA from 1 species
GUCGGAAUUGCUAGUAAUCGCGGAUCAGCAUGCCGCGGUGAAUACGUUCCCGGGCCUUGUACACACCGCCCGUCACACCAUGGGAGCCGGUAACACCCGAAGUCAGUAGCCUAACAGCAAUGAGGGCGCUGCCGAAGGUGGGAUUGGUGACUGGGGUGAAGUCGUAACAAGGUAAC